CCUACGGGAGGCAGCAGUGGGGAAUAUUGGGCAAUGGAGGAAACUCUGACCCAGCGACGCCGCGUGCGGGAUGAAGGCCUUCGGGUUGUAAACCGCUUUCAGCAGGGAAGAAGCGAAAGUGACGGUACCUGCAGAAGAAGCACCGGCUAACUAUGUGCCAGCAGCCGCGGUAAUACAUAGGGUGCAAGCGUUGUCCGGAAUUAUUGGGCGUAAAGAGCUCGUAGGUGGUUCGUCACGUCGGAUGUGAAAAUCUGGGGCUUAACCCCAGACCUGCAUUCGAUACGGGCGAGCUUGAGUAUGGUAGGGGAGUCUGGAAUUCCUGGUGUAGCGGUGGAAUGCGCAGAUAUCAGGAGGAACACCAAUGGCGAAGGCAGGACUCUGGGCCAUUACUGACACUGAGGAGCGAAAGCGUGGGGAGCGAACAGGAUUAGAUACCCUGGUAGUCCACGCCGUAAACGGUGGGCACUAGUUGUGGGGACCUUCCACGGUCUCUGCGACGCNGCUACGCAUAGUGCCCGCCGUCGGGAGGUACGAGUCGCGAGAAGUUAAACGUUAAAGUAAAGUUAGACGGUCGUUGAGACGUUGCCGACGGACGACGACGAGGGAGGAGG
rnacentral:rRNA from 1 species